rnacentral:rRNA from 1 species
AGUGAACGCUGGCGGUAGGCCUAACACAUGCAAGUCGAACGGCAGCACAGUAAGAGCUUGCUCUUACGGGUGGCGAGUGGCGGGCGGGUGAGGAAUACAUCCGAAUCUACUUUUUCGUGGGGGAUAACGUAGGGACACUUACGCUAAUACCGCAUACGACCUACGGGUGAAAGCAUGGGAUCUUCGGACCUUGCGCGAUUGAAUGAGCCGAUGUCGGAUUAGCUAGUUGGCGGGGUAAAGGCCCACCAAGGCGACGAUCCGUAGCUGGUCUGAGAGGAUGAUCAGCCACACUGGAACUGAGACACGGUCCAGACUCCUACGGGAGGCAGCAGUGGGGAAUAUUGGACAAUGGGCGCAAGCCUGAUCCAGCCAUACCGCGUGGGUGAAGAAGGUCUUCGGGUUGUAAAGCCCUUUUGUUGGGAAAGAAAAGCAGUAGGUUAAUACCCUGCUGUUCUGACGGUACCCAAAGAAUAAGCACCGGCUAACUUCGUG